rnacentral:rRNA from 1 species
CUACGUGCCAGCAGCCGCGGUAAUACGUAGGUCCCGAGCGUUGUCCGGAUUUAUUGGGCGUAAAGCGAGCGCAGGCGGUUAGAUAAGUCUGAAGUUAAAGGCUGUGGCUUAACCAUAGUACGCUUUGGAAACUGUUUAACUUGAGUGCAAGAGGGGAGAGUGGAAUUCCAUGUGUAGCGGUGAAAUGCGUAGAGAUGUGGAGGAAUACCGAUGGCGAAGGCAGCCUCCUGGGAUAACACUGACGUUCAUGCUCGAAAGCGUGGGUAGCAAACAGGAUUAGAUACCCUGGUAGUCCACGCCCUAAACGAUGUCAAUUAGCUGUUGGGCAACUUGAUUGCUUAGUAGCGUAGCUAACGCGUGAAAUUGACCGCCUGGGGAGUACGGUCGCAAGAUUAAAACUCAAAGGAAUUGACGGGGACCCGCACAAGCGGUGGAUGAUGUGGAUUAAUUCGAUGCAACGCGAAGAACCUUACCUGGUCUUGACAU